GUGCCAGCCGCCGCGGUAAUACGGAGGGGGUUAGCGUUGUUCGGAAUUACUGGGCGUAAAGCGCACGUAGGCGGACUAUUAAGUCAGGGGUGAAAUCCCGGGGCUCAACCCCGGAACUGCCUCUGAUACUGGUAGUCUAGAGUUCGAGAGAGGUGAGUGGAAUUCCGAGUGUAGAGGUGAAAUUCGUAGAUAUUCGGAAGAACACCAGUGGCGAAGGCGGCUCACUGGCUCGAUACUGACGCUGAGGUGCGAAAGUGUGGGUAGCAAACAGGAUUAGAUACCCGGGUAGUCC
rnacentral:rRNA from 1 species